UACGAAGGGGGCUAGCGUUGCUCGGAAUCACUGGGCGUAAAGGGUGCGUAGGCGGGGUUUUAAGUCAGGGGUGAAAUCCUGGAGCUCAACUCCAGAACUGCCUUUGAUACUGAAGAUCUUGAGUUCGGGAGAGGUGAGUGGAACUGCGAGUGUAGAGGUGAAAUUCGUAGAUAUUCGCAAGAACACCAGUGGCGAAGGCGGCUCACUGGCCCGAUACUGACGCUGAUGCACGAAAGCGUGGGGAGCAAACAGG
rnacentral:rRNA from 1 species